CAAAAACCUGUAGGAUAGAAACAUAGGAAUUUUUCAUUAGAUUGGAAUUUUUUUCUAAUGAUAAGUAGAGAUAGCUCUAAUUUGUGGCAGGGGUAUAUUGAGUUGUUUUCUAGCAUUUUAGUUAGGAAAACUUUUAAAUAUAAGGGAAUAUUCAUAGAAUAGUAGAGUGAACACUCAUAGCCACUAUGUAUGUUUUACCUUUGAUUACUGACAUUUGCCCUAUUUGCUUCAACUCUAUUUAUCUAGGUCACUGUGUUUUUACUGAACUAUUUAAAGUAUAUACAUAGUUCUUACUCUAACAUACUUCAGCAUACUCCAAAAAAAUGACAUGCUCCUUUAUAAUAUAACCUUUAUCAAAACUAAGAAAAUUAACAUGAUUUUCUUAGUAUCUAAUAGCUGUUUAUGUGCAAAUUGUCCUAAUAGUUUUUAUAUUUCAUAGUUGUCAAUUUUUCAGCCAGGGUUUAUAUCAAGAUUCAUAUUAGAUAUGGUUGUUAUGUCUCUUUAUCCUUUUGUAAAUGCAAAUAGACCCUGGAACUUUUUUAACAAAACUCUGUUUCACUAACUUUCAAAGAGUUUUAUCAGGCAGAUCCAACAUAGCUGAAUAGCGGAUAGCCACAGUAACUUCAGCUGCUCCAGGAUACAAAAAGAACAAAGGAAGGACCAUGUUUCCAGGGGUCUGACUGACAGAAAUUUGUGGUGAAGAAGUAAACAAACAAUGAAGCCUGGCCACAGCCAGCCAGGACGUGUAGCCAGGGACUAGCUGUGAGCACCAUCUUACCAUAUCAAGGAGACAUCUAGAAGGUGUCAGCUGACACUGUAGUUGACUGAAGGUUUGACGGAGGCAGAAGGAGCUGCCAGGAAGGCUUUACUCAGGGGGCUGUUGGAAAGAGGAUUCAUCUUUAUCACGGGGGUCUUCCUGUCAAGUUGUUAACAACAUAGCAGCCCACAGUAAGUAAACUAAAGCACCACAAAGGUGCCUCACACCUCACCAAAGACGAAAGCUCGAGCCUCUAUCAUAACCUCACCUGGGAAGUGACAUACUGUCACCUCUAGCAUAGUCUUUUGGUCACUAGAACAAACACUGGUAUGAUAUUGGUAAGGAAUACAUAAGCACCUGAGUACCACCAGGCAGAUACCAUUGGCACAUUGACUACCGCAAACCACAUUCUAGGUUUGUGUAGUGUUUCCUUGUAUGGUUAUUUAACUUGUUUUAUUUCGUUCACAUUUUUUAUAAACUAGAAACUUUGUCUACAACCUCGAUGUUAUUAAUAUCUCGAAGAAUGCUGUAAAGAUGACAUACUCUAAUUCACUUUAGGAGUAACAUAUCAGGUUGUCCCACUUAACUAAGAUGACCUGAUACCUUUGUUUUAAAAAUAUUUCCUUUUUCUCUUUACAAUUAAGUAUACUCUGUGAACUGAUACUUUGACAGCUGCCAAAUAUCCUGUUAUUUGGGCAAGAAUUUGAUUUUUAUGUGAUCUUUACUCUCUGCAACUAACUUUUCUUUUUUGUGCAUUUGCUGUGUCCCUAAGAGUUUUAAACACAUGUCUUCUUUUUUAACUCCAAUAGUUUAUGAGAUACAUAUGCUUAAUUGUCUCCAUUAAAAUUGAGAAAAAAAAUAGAUUCAGGAACUUUAAAGGUUAAGAUAUACAACUUAGUGACAGAAUCAGAACUUUUAAAAAAGAUUUAUGUAUUUAUUUGUAAAGCAGAGUUGGAGAGAGAGAGAUGGAGAUCCUCAUCUUCCAUCUGCUUGUUCACUCCCGAGAUGGCUGCGAUGGCUGAGGCUGAGCCAAACUAAAGCCAGGAGCCUGUGACUCCAUCUGGGUCUCCCAUAUGGGUGGCAGGGGUCCGCUCGGGCCAUCUUCCACUGCCUUCCCAGGCAAUUUAAGCAGGGAGCUGGGUCAGAAGUAGAGAGGCUGGGAAUCAAACCAGUGAUCAUCUACAAUGUUGGUGUCCCAGGUGGCAGCUUAUCUUGCUGCACAACAAUGCUAACCCCAGAACCUGGAUUUGAAGUCAUGUUUGACUGCUAAACCUAUGCUAUUAACUAUACUGCCUAUAGAAAGAAGGGGAAACUUCUGUGAGGAACUUUCCACAUAGCAUAAAAGGAAAGUCUCUUGCAAAUAUAGGUAGGAACCCAGGAAUACAAAGAAUAAGCUAUUGAAGCUGAUAUCUGUGAUUUGGUUACAUGACAUAACAGGCAAAAUUCACUAGGUUACAAACAGAAUCAUAUCUAAAAUACUAUAGGCAGAUAAGAUACUGUAUUACUUUAAAACUUUCAAUAAGUUAUUAUCCUAUUCUUUGAGAUAUCAUUCCUUGGCAAGAAAAAAAAUUGUCUAGUCUAUAGAUGCAAUUUUAUUAUAAAAUUACAUAAGCAAAGGGUUUUCAAAAAUUUGGUUGAAAAUGUAUAAUAAAACUGCAUAGAUUUAAAAAUGUACCUUUUAAUUGUUUUUCCAUGAACAUUUUAAAACACCUUCAUGUGAUGCAUAAUUGUUAUAAUUAUUACCUAAAGUUAAUAUUAAGUAAAUAUUUAAAUUAUUCUAGGUAGAAUUUUUAUUGGUGAGGAUUGUGGAAUGGUGGAAUGAGUAAAAAAAAAAUGUGCUUCAGUGGGAAAGGAAAAAGAAUCAGUUAAACUUUGUAUGAUUAGAUCGCUCAAGCAAUACUGAGAAUACUUGUAUUUUCUAUAAUGAUGAAAGUAUUAUGUGACCAGAACUCACUAUACUGAACAUGCAACUUUAAAGGGUAGUUAGGAAUUCCACUAGAACUUAAGAUUCCUUUAUUGUGUCUCUUCAUUUCAGAUGCAGAUAUCCCUCUCUUCAUACUAAAGCAAUUGUAUAGAUUUUUUUUUCCACCAGCCUUUUUAUUUUAUGAAUGAGAAGUCUUAGAUUGUGUGUCUAAGGUUACAUGGCAAGGGAGAUUCAAGUUAAUAGUUAAUUUCUGAGCAAUAGUAGGGCAAUUCCCGUACCUCUUUGGGAUUAUUAAGUGUCUGGAGAUCUGCUGCCCGUUCUGGUAGUACGAGCCAAAAGCAAACAAUAAACAACAGCAACCUGAAUCUUGGGUGUGACAGGCAUGGACCAAACUUUCAUUCUGUGUUCAGGAAAAGAAGUCAUUGCUGAAUGAGAAAUCUUGUUUCACUGUAUUUGUAUUGUGUGAAUUUAACUCCUUCCUAUAAAUAAGAAUGAUUUUUCAGCCUAUGCCUUUUUUAUCUGCUUUCUCUCCCACAUAGAGGCAGUGGAACAGAUUAAAUUAGUAAUUCCUUGCACUUGCCAGGCCUAAAUUGUUACUUACUGUUUCCCAGUAGGAGGGUCUUUCUUGAGAACUACUUUUAAAUAUAUAUUCUAGGUUUUGUGGCAAUAAGGAGAAAGAAACUAUAUAAUAGCUUAAAGAAGUAUAGGGUUGGUCUUAAGAAAACAUUUUUUUCCUAAAGCAAGUGACCCUUGAGGCUUCUUCGGAUUUCUAGAAAAAUCCCAAAUGACCAGUGAUACAAAGGAUAUGUGGUGCUGCUGCUCUGUGAUGGAGAACCAUUGCUACCAGUGUAACAGCUAUUGUGUAUAGAGCACAGGUGUGUUCCAGAUGUGCUUAGCUAAGUGCCUUACUUGUAUUAUCUUAUUUAAUCCACACAAUAACUCUGAGAGAUAGACAUUAAUAUUUCCAGUUGAAAGAAUGGUUAAAUGUAAUUUAAAGGGCUUACCCAAAUAUCCAAAAUAACAGUAGUCUUGAUGUGGCAGAGAAACUUUCUAAAUUAGAUCUGACUCCUAAAUGUGUGCUCUUAAUUCCCAUCUUUCCUCAAAUUUUAGAUCUAAAUAUUCUGAAGAUUUACUUCCCUCUCUUUGUCUUGAAUGUACUUUCCCUCUGCUACUCUACUUAGAUAAUACUAAAAGUUCAGUUCUGCUUAUGCCUUCUGAUGCUUUUCUUGGCCAGAUAUUUCUGUCUUCCCUCUCCAAGCUCCUUACUCUUCAUAUUGACUCAGCAUCAUUAUUUUCACUUAAGCUAUGUUAAAUCUCCCUUACCACACAUGUAUCAUAAUCAUUUCUUUAAAAGUUUGUCUAUCUGAAUGGCUAGUGACUACCUCAUAGCCAGCUUUGGUUUUCUUAUUCUCUUUUCCUCACAGCCUAUAUUUAUAUUUCCCUUCUAUGAUAUUUUCAGAAGCUUAGAAAUUUAAAGCUGAAAUAGACUUAACAACAAAAAUAAAUGAUAUAGCUCACCAACUUAAAGGACCAGGGUUGAAAAAAUAUUAGAUGUAUGAUAAGUGCUUCUUUCCUUAAUAAAAUUAAGUCUCAGUCCUAUCCUAACAAUGAGCAAAGGCCAAAUAAUCUUCAAAAUUUUAGCAUUUCUUGAAUCAGUUAUACAAAACAACCAAGUUAACUAAAUUUCACAGAGUCAUAAGCCCCUCUGAAGACAUGACACAUAAACGGUUUUGCCUUUGGAAGAGCAUGGAAAGAAGAGAUGGUCUUCAUUAUAGCAGGUAAAAAAAUAAUUGAAAGUUUAAUGCAUUUCUUGAAAGCACUAGAUGUGGGCUAAAGUAUCAAUUGAAAGUAACUGGGAUCCCCAGAACACAAGUUUACGUUCCUGUAUAGACUUCUUUUCCAUGGGCCUCCACUGGUUUUCUCACAGAUGGGGGAAAAAUGUUGAGGAUGGUCCAAGAGAUGGAAGAGAGCCCACCUUAGUAACUAGGCUUGCAAAAGUGCAAUGACUGCCUCUGGGAAACAGGCAUGAAAUCAUUGGUUUCUUCAGACUUUUUUUUUACACUAAGCAAAGCCUUGAACUACAAAGGUAGGAACAACAGACCCUCUCAUCUGCAGGGUCCAUGCAAAGUUCCAUUACUUCCUGAGAAGAAGAAGAAGCCUGCCUGAUGGAGAGGGAACUGAUGCUGUCACCCGCAGGACUCAAGCAUCCAGUUACCCAUUGCUUUUGGGAAGGAGUAGAAGUAAAGGCCCAGGCCAGCGCUGUGGCAUAGCAGGUAAAGCCACCGCCUGCAGUGCCAGCAUCCAUAUGGGUGCUGGUUCGAGUCCUGGCUGCUCCACUUCCAGUCCAGCUCUCUGCUAUGGCCUGGGAAAUCAGUGGAAGAUGGCCCGAGUCCUUGGCCCCCUGCACCUGCAUGGGAGACCCGAAGAAGAUCCUGGCUCCUGGCUUCGGAUCAGCCCAGUUCUGGCAGUUGCAGCCAUUUGGGGGGUGAACCAGCUGAUGGAAGACAUCUCUCUUUCUCUCUCUCUCUGUCUGUCUCUGUCCCUGCCUCUCUGUAACUCUUUCAAGUAAAAUAAAUAAAUCUUUAAAAAAAAAAAAAAAGGAAAGGCCUGACUGUCUAUAAGCUUCCCCAGGACUCUGGCCACUACAAAGGGAAAGCUGAAAAAUGUUCUUCUCAAGAGCUGCCAGGGAUUUAAGGCAAAGUUUGGCAGUCAUGGGGUUGAGGAUGGACAGAAAUAUAAGAUCCUGCCUCAGAAGCCCAGGGGCAUAGCCUGUGUCCAAAAGUGAGAUAGACUAGAAAAACGGAGGAUCUCAGAUAUCUCCACAAGAAGCCUAACAAAUUGCAGUCUACUGCUGGGGAAGAGCAAGAAUGGGUGAGAUACCUCCCCCAGUAGUGACAGCAUUCAGGAACUGCCAAAAGUGAAAAUGGAACAGAAACAGAAAAACUUUGAAGCAUCCAAGGCCUCACCUAAACAAGGUGACAGUAGCCUGUCACUGGAAAGAUUUGAAGCCCAUAUUGUGUUGGGGUGAAAGACAGCAACAACAAAACCCAACUUCAGCUGCUUACUACAUUGGCUCAACAACCUCUCAUACUAACAGCCUAAUUGAAGACAAUAUAUGACUAUUUCCAUAAGAAUACUAUCAUCUACAUCUGUAUUAUUCUCUGAGUAUCCAGCAUUUAAUAAAAAAGUCACAGCAUUCUAAAAAAAAAAAUGGAAAAAAUUCACUAUUGAAAGAUAAAGCAACCAGGCUGCAAGCUGAACCGGAAGUUGGAACUAUCAUGGCAUUAAAACACAUUUUACAUAAAGGAUCUAGUAGAAAAGGUUGAUAGUGUUCACCAACAGAUGGGAUAUUUUAGCAGAGAGGUGGUAAUUUAGUGACUCAUGUGGAAAUGUUGUAGAUCAACACAAUAUCAGAGAUGAAGCAUUCUUUCAACUGGCUUAUCAGAAGACUUAACACAGCUUAAAAGGAUCAGUAACCAUGAAAUAUCAGCAAAUAGAAAUUUUACAGAGGGAAAAAAUGUAAAGCAUCCAGAUCUGAAUAACUACCAAAAUGUCUCAUAUACUUGUAUAUGUAAUUGGGAUUCCAGAAUAAAGAAGGGAAAAAUGGAGGAGAAAAAAUAUUUUAAGAUAUAAUGACCAAGAACUUUUCAAAAUUAAUGAAGCUCAGAGUUUCAAGCACAGUAAAACCCAAAUGCAUCAAUGCUGGCAAUGGACGGAGAGUCUUCAGGUAAGGAAAGAUGGAUGGAACUCUCAAUUCAGUUUUCAUCUUUUGACUUCCUUAUAGUCCCCAUACCUACUGUUUAACAUUGUGGCCCGACUGUAGACAAAGGAAUUCUUAGUGCUAGGCAUCACCACCAUGGCAGACUAGAUGGGAUCAGACACAAAACAUGAAACUGCAUUUCUCAAUGUAUAUUCAGGGUAAGUAGAAACCAUUACUACUAAAAAAAAAAAAAAAAAGAAAAAAAAAGAAA